rnacentral:sRNA from 1 species
GAUCAUUAGCGAAUAAACAAGUGUUGGUUGUGCUGACCAUUCGUGGUAUGUGCACGCUGACCACUGUUUCAUUCAUUUUCCACCUGUGCACUUCAUGUAGUCCAUUGCAUUGCUGAUUUCGGGCCUUUAAGCCUGGUUUAAGGAAGUUGCUUGUUUCACAACAGGCUCUUCUUGGGCAUGUAUGGUCUAUGUUUACUAUCUACACCAUAUAAAUGUCAUAGAAUGUAUCAGGCCUUGUGCCUUUAAACUAUAAUACAACUUUCAACAACGGAUCUCUUGGCUCUCGCAUCGAUGAAGAACGCAGCGAAAUGCGAUAAGUAAUGUGAAUUGCAGAAUUCAGUGAAUCAUCGAAUCUUUGAACGCACCUUGCGCUCCUUGGCAUUCCGAGGAGCAUGCCUGUUUGAGUGUCAUUAAAUUCUCAAUCCUAUGCUCUCUUGUAUUGUAUGGUGAUUGGAUUAUGGAGGCUGCUGGCUUGUUCAGCUCCUCUUAAAAGCAUUAGCAGGGUAUAAUGCCAUCUGUGCUUUGUAUGAUAUGUAUCUAUACAUUGUGCAAUUGUGCAUGUCUGCUACAAAUUGUCAGACUUUGACACUUGACCAAUUUGACCUCAAAUCAGGUAGGACUACCCGCUGAACUUAAGCAUAUCAAUAAGCGGAGGAAAAGAAACUAACAAGGAUUCCCCUAGUAACUGCGAGUGAAGCGGGAAAAGCUCAAAUUUAAAAUCUGGCAGUCUCUGGC